rnacentral:rRNA from 1 species
AAUAGAUACCCCGGUAGUCCACGCCGUAAACGAUGGAUGCUAGCUAUUGGGGGGAAUCGACCCCCUCCGAAGCGAAGCUAACGCGUUAAGCAUCCCGCCUGAGUAGUACGAGCGCAAGCUUAAAACUCAAAGGAAUUGACGGGGACCCGCACAAGCGGUGGAGCGUGUGGUUUAAUUCGAUGGUAAACGAAGAACCUUACCAAGGUUUGACAUCCCGGUAGCCGUUCUCCGAAAGGAGAAUUUCAUUUAGUUGGACCGGUGACAGGUGAUGCAUGGCCGUCGUCAGCUCGUGUCGUGAGAUGUUGGGUUAAGUCCCGCAACGAGCGCAACCCUUAUGAUUUAGUUGGAUUUUUCUAAACAGACUGCCCUGGUAACAGGGAGGAAGGAGGGGAUGAUGUCAGGUCAGUAUUUCCCUUACACCUUGGGCGACACACGCGCUACAAUGGCCGGUACAGUGGGCAGCUAAGCCGCGAGGUGGAGCAAAUCCCAUCAAAGCCGGUCCCAGUUCGGAUUGCAGGCUGAAACCCGCUGCAUGAAGCCGGAAUCGCUAGUAACC